rnacentral:piRNA from 1 species
UUGAUCUCCAUGUCGACACACAUCCU